rnacentral:tRNA from 1 species
AGAAUUUUAGAUUAAUUUAAAUCGAAAACUUUCAAAGUUUUAGAUAGGAAAUAGAUUCCUAAGUUCUG